GGAUGUGAGGGUGAUCUGGUUGCAACAUCUGUCACCUCAAUGAUUGCUAAGGUUGAUUCAGCUGAUCUAGCUGGGUAGGCAUGUAUCCCCUUCCUCCCUUACCACCCCAUGUGCCUCCUUCCUGAAACUGUGCAUUCAGCCAAAGAGGAUGACCUUGCCUGAUAGAGGAAGACCAUUCUCUGGUCAAGGAUAUACAAGUAGCUACACUUCCCUGCUAGAAUCUCCAGACAAGCUCUCAUAAGUCAUGAGUGUUUCUUAUAGAAAAAGUAGACAAUGAAAAUGAGCAAGAGAAGAAAAACAAAUC
rnacentral:snRNA from 1 species